rnacentral:rRNA from 1 species
CUACGGGGGGCUGCAGUGGGGAAUAUUGGACAAUGGGGGAAACCCUGAUCCAGCAAUGCCGCGUGUGUGAAGAAGGCCUGCGGGUUGUAAAGCACUUUCGGUUGGGAGGACUGCUUCUAGCACUAAUAUUGUUGGAAGUUGACGUUACCUUCAGAAGAAGCACCGGCUAGCUCCGUGCCAGCAGCCGCGGAAUACGGAGGGUGCAAGCGUUAAUCGGAAUUACUGGGCGUAAAGCGCGCGUAGGCGGCUAGAUCAGUCGGGUGUGAAAGCCCCGGGCUUAACCUGGGAACUGCAUCCGAUACUGUCUAGCUUGAGUACAGGAGAGGAGAGUGGAAUUCCACAUGUAGCGGUGAAAUGCGUAGAUAUGUGGAGGAACACCAAUGGCGAAGGCAGCUCUCUGGCCUGAUACUAACGCUGAGGUGCGAAAGCGUGGGGAGCAAACAGGAUUAGAUACCCGAGUAGUC